UUAAUGUCUCAGUGCCAGUAAUGCACCAAUCUGCCCAUUGUCAAUGCCUGUCUCUUUUAAGAUGCUGUUUUAACCACCAGCGAGCAGCAUCUCCAAGCAUGACAUCUCUGUAAGAUGCCCCAGUGAGGCCUUACUCCCAACAAUCCUCUUUAAAAGUGUUUUAUUUGUUAAUCUGUGCACUGCCUUUUGGAGGUUGAAUUUAAAAUAUUGAAAUAUUUCCCCUGAAAAUCUACAUGAAGAAAU